UUAGAACGCUAAGUGUGCCAAAUGAACUAUUAUCAGUUCCUUUUUGCUAUACGCUAUUGUAUGACAAUGACAGAAUUAUGUUAAUACUGAAGAAAUCUUAAAAACCCAGCGUUUCUCAAGCAGGUUCUAAAGUUUUUCUGCUCAGUACAUGUAGUGAGUUGCACUGAAGGCAGCAACUUUGAGGCCUGUUGUUAGCGUUUUGGAACACUAAAAAUGCCGAAUUAGCUAUUCACAGUACACUUUUGCUAUGCACUAUUGGAUGUACUGGCAACUACCACUGAAUUACAUUGAUACUAAAGAAUUUGCUAAAACCUGAAGAUUUUCAGGCAAGUUUUGCAGCAUUCCAACCCUAGCUCAAAAAAGAUCUCGUAAUUAUGGCAUUCAUAAUUACGAGAUCCUAAUCUUGUAAUUAUAACAGCCUUUCUCAUAAUAAUGAGACUGAUCUCAUACGUUACCUAUACAAAUGAUUAUUCACUGUAGUACCCUUGUUUUGUUUACCACAGCCUUCUAGGCUAAAUUUGUCAUAAUGUUUCCUUUCUCUGGCAAAACUUCUUUUUUUCUGUUAUUGGAUUCAGGUUUCUUCAUGUUAAUUUGCAUCUUUUCCCUCCACUUUUCUUCUUAUUCAAGGUAAUAACUCGGAACGAGCUGAUGCUAGAGGAAACAAGAAACACAAUCACAGUCCCAGCCUCUUUCAUGCUCCGAAUGCUAGCCUCCCUUAAUCACAUCAGAUCAGAUCGACUAGAAGGUGAUCGCUCCGAAGGUUCGAGCCAGGAAAAUGAGGACGAGCAGUAGACUGUUGGCUUUUUAUUUUAAAGAAAACUAUUCUUCUUGCUGCAUAGCACUUGGAAAGAAACAUGAGAUUUGUACAAGUAUAGUGCAGAACAGUUCCCUUUGAAAACUAGUCUAAUUUCUAGCCCCCCUGUGUUUUUUGUUUUUGUUUGUUUUGUUUUUUUAUGACUUUCUUACUGAUGUUUCUGUAUGAGGAUAAUCUACAUUUGUGUGAAUGCAAAAGGCAAGGACCUCAGUAUAUUUUAAGUGUGAGAAUAAUGGUUGGUGUGUAAGGAUGUUAAGUGCAAUAUUAUUUUGUUAGGUGAGAGUGAGCUUUGAUCAGUGUUUAAAGUGUGGCAUUUAGAAUUUGUAGCACAAGGUUAAGAAAUGUUGAUGUGCUGCUCCAGCAGUUUUGUACGCAUGUAAACAAGAACUCUAAGGACUUUAACAUACUACUUUAAAUUUGUUCUUGAAGAAGAAAAGAAAUGAUGCUGUGGUUCUUCUCAUGUCAGUAAAUUAUAAUCUUUUACUGAAUUUGGAAAAAAUAAAGCUAAAUGGCAUCUUAAA